AGAUGGUAAUCCAAUGUAUAAGCAAUGGACUGUUUUAUUCUUGGUGCUUUCAAGACCUGAUGCUUUGUUUUGAACAGGUUGAUACAUCUAGGAGUGAAAUACAUCACCGCUUUCCCUGCUCCCGCCGCCAUUAAAAUUGUGUUUGGCAUCUGACCACCAAGAUACAGAUAUUUCCUAGACUGUUUUGCAGCUAGGUACUUAGAAGUUUUUCUAAGUUAUUUAAACUUCUCACCACACAAAAUCUGGAUUUGUAUCUGUCACGUAGUAAUUGCUUGAUAAAUAUUUCAUACUAGGACCUUUCAUUGGCUGAACAAAGACAAAGACAGAAAUCAAGGAAGGUCAAAGAAGCAGUCAGUUUUCUGGCACCCAAAGUUGUUGGAGAAGGGUACAGAGUCGGUAAAUAAGUCAUAUGACAGACAGGCAGUAUUUUCUUAUUUUAAUAACAAGUUUAAAAAUCCCACUUCUUGUACUUACCUUCUGUCUGACGUCAUCAGUAUUUUAAAAUGCCAACUGGGAUCAAGUUCAACACUGCAUUACUGAAGAAUCCAGAUUAUCUACAUUUCAAGUGCCAAAUGAAAGAAAGAACCCAGAAAAUAAAACAAUAUGAUGAUAACAGUAAAAUUUUUUAAAAUGAAA
rnacentral:lncRNA from 1 species